CCCUUAGAUGUUCUGGGCCGCACGCGCGCUACACUGACGAAUGCAACGAGCUUAUAACCUUGGCCGAAAGGUCUGGGUAAUCUCCAAAUUUCGUCGUGAUGGGGAUAGAUUAUUGCAAUUAUUAAUCUUCAACGAGGAAUGCCUAGUAAGCGCAAGUCAUCAGCUUGCGUUGAUUACGUCCCUGCCCUUUGUACACACCGCCCGUCGCUCCUACCGAUUGAAUGGUCCGGUGAAGCGUUCGGACCGUGGCCGUUGGACGGUUCGCCGUCUGUUGGCUGCGGGAAGUUCGUUAAACCUUNUNAUUUAUNGGAAGGAGAANUCGUANCA
rnacentral:rRNA from 1 species